CGCGAGUCCGAUCCCGACGAGAUCUCCGCAGCACCGGCGCGAAACUGCCUCCGCGCGGCCGCUGGAGCGCGCAAAAGCCCACAGCGCAGCCGGGCGAUGCACCCGCGGAGCAGACGCGGAGCCGCCUCGCGCGCACCACAGGCAGAGGGACGGACGGCCCUCGGCCCACCCCGGCCCGGCCCGGCCUCGCCUCCCCCCUCCCCCCGGUUUCUGGCUCUGGGCGGUGCCUGCCCCCCUCCCCCCUCCCAGCAGCCUUUGCACUCCCUACAAUGAAAUUUGCAAAGUUUUUUCGGUUUCGGCGCCAUUUUCGAGUGGACUCGGAGGCUGUGCUCAGUGCUGCAUCUCCAUCGUGACAACAAGAAUACCAUGCAGAACUUGUGCAUGGGACAGCAGCCGUUAUCUUUUCAGAAGCAUCUCCUUCUUUGCCCCUUUCUGAAUUAACAGGUUCCUGUUGCAACUGGAGAUAAAUACAUCCAAGGAGUCAUUGUUGCCUUACUUUUAUUAUUAACAGGUAGAGGACCACUGAAGAAAAAUGGAUGAUAACAAGGACUUGGAACUAAACUUGCAUCUGUUCAUCAGGAAGAAAUACAAGCUUCAUUUGAUCUGAAAAAGUGCAUUAUUUGCCAGAAUGCACACACUAAGACAACAGUUACCACAAAUAUAAAUGGUAGAAAACGAAUACGGGAAGCAGCUAACAUUAGAGAUGAUGCGGUUGCAAAAAGAUGUAAUUAUAUGGCAGAUGAAGACAAGUUUGUGUGUCAUGGGACUAACCAACGCUACAAAGCUUGCACUUUGAAAAAAACUCAUGAUAGAUUAGUUGAAAAAUGAAAUAAAGAAGUAAGCAAGCAUGACGAUUUGGUCAGCAGCAAAACUGCCACUGCUGAAACAUCACAUAAAGCAAGGUCAACAGUUCCACCACAAGCACCUCUGUCUUUAGUUAUAUCAUCAACACAUGUAAGAUGUAUAGUCUGUGGAUGGCAAAGUCAUUAUGGUGUGUAGGAGAACUUUUGAAUAAGAGAAUCAGGAAGAGCAAAUAAUUUUUUAGCCACAGCUAUUUUCAAGAUGAUGUUUACACUCAUGUGGCAGCUCUGGAAUCAGAUAUUCAGGUGUUUAGUGCGGACAUACUGUACCACAAAACAUGCUAGGAAGGAUAUUUAAAGUUGUAUGAAUAUGGUAUGCGAAAUCCUAAAGACCAAAGAUUUCAGCAAAAGAUGUUGCCUUUGAAAGAGGUAAUGAGAUUAUUGGCUCUACGCUUAAAGAAGGAUGUCAUUUCACACUGCUGGAAAUCUGUACUCCCAUAAAUAAAUUGGCUGGAGAAGACAUAAUUAGAAACAACAAAGUUAAACUUAUUCUACGAAAACAUUAUGGAGAAGACAUACUUCAGUUCACCUGACAGUAAAAACGAGUCCUUGAUGGUGUUUCAGCAAAUCUAGGGAUUGAUGAAAUAAUCCAAUGCAUAUGAAAAGUAAAUAACAUUGAAUCAGCUGCAAAAAGAAGUCAGGGGGGCUUCAAAGGAAGCUAAUUUUGGACUUGCAGACAGGUUCUGUGAUUCUGAAGAACCGAAGACAUCUUGGGUGACUACUGAGAUGCCAAACGAAGUAGUUAACAUUAUCAGCAUUUUUAACAUUAACAAGAGACUACUGGUGUCAAAUAGUAUUUCUCCAGAAGAUGAAGAGGAUUCCAAGCAAGAUCCAUCAGAAAAGGGCAGUGAUGAUGAUGAAUGUAAUGAGACAACGGGUGCUCCUCCCUUCAGUGAAAGAAAAACGGCUGUUUCUGCAAAGGUUAUCUACAAAAUAAUGUAUUAUUCUCUUAAUCACAGAAAGAAACAGACACCUCUUCACUUGCACAUCUUUAAAAUACAACUUUAAAAACAUCUAAAAUAGCAAUUCCAAUACAGAUGCAGACUGGGAUAAGGCCUCUACUUAAAAGGCUUAAUGAAAGAGGAUGGUCUUCAGUAGGCGCCGAAAAGAUAACAGAGAUGGUGCCCGUCUAAAAUUUAAGGGGAGGGAAUUCCAAAGGAUCAGUGCCACGACACUAAGGGACCAGUUCCUUUGUUGUGCAGAACAGACCUUCUGAUAAGAUGGUAUCUGCAGGAGGCCUUCACCUGCAGAGCGCAAUGAUCGACUCGGUAUAUAAAGGGUAAAAUUAUAUUUCAGGUAUCCCGGUUCCAAGCUGUGUAGGGCUUUGUACACCAAAACCAGAACCUUGAACUUGGCCCGGAAGCUAUUGGGCAUCUCAAAGGAGCUCAGAAGAAAUAAUUGGACAGACAAGACAACAAAUGUAUGUCACUGAAUGGGAGUGGACAUAUCAUGAGGUGCUAGCAAUAAGCAAUUAUUUCAGAGAAAUAAUUGGUGUUAGCAGUACCAGCUACAGGGAGGCAACUGUUCAUCCUCAAUUAUCUAGAAAUUUAUCUUCCAAUGUGUUAUUGUCUGUUACCAUGCUCUGUGAAUUCAUGAUUGGCACAGGCAAUCCAUAUGAAAUGUCCAGUCAGAUGAAACUUCAUAAUUUCAUUGCUCAACAGUGUGUCACCUAGAGAGAUUGCUCUCUGUCUCAUGAAAAGUGAAAGAACAUUAUGAAGAAGGUUGCUUAACAUUUAGAAGAAAACUGUGAAGAAAACUUAAAAACGUUCAGAUGUCAUUGUAAAGGUCAAACUACCAUCAAUGGAGAGGAACACAGCAGUGCCUACUCCAAAAUCAAAGUCUAAGUCUACACCAGGUUACCAAAUAUAUAUAUAUAUAUUGCUGCCGCUGAAAGAAGUAUACAUAUAUCUGAAGAAAGGGGAGAAAGUAUGAAGGAUAUUUGAAAGUGUGAUCUAUUGCCAUCAAAUACGCUGUUUGAUGACAGUGGCUUUCCUACUAAACCAGUAAAGUAUCUUCUGUUGGCUGAGCUUGAGAAGCAACUGGAGCUGGUAGAUGACUGCUUUCAGCAAUGUGACAUCAUGGAAACUGCUGUUGUAGAUUUUAUAUCACAAGUUUGCCAACCAAGAACAAAAGGUAUGAAAAUAUUUUAAAAUGCUGUGCAACACAGUACCAAAGAGUAGACAGAAUAGACUUUGUGUCUGAUAGCUACGUUGAGCAGUCCCUUAAAUAGAGCGAAAGAGAACUACAAAAGAAGGAUGAUCCAAUGUAACUGAUGGAGAUGGAAUGGGAUACUCCUAUUCCCACUGGAGAGGUUCUGGUCUUCCAGCAAAAACAAAGAGAUGCUCCCGUUGGCUGCCAGUUAUUGUUUCAUCAACAAUGCAGAAGUGACUACCAUUAUUACAGUAUUAAGUGGAGCUAUGACAGGAAACAAUGAUAACGGAGAUACACUCGAGUUAGAAAGCAGGCAGUUGAAAUCUGCUCUGAGCUUCAGAUCUCUGUUGAAGAAGCAGAUGCAGGAAUGAUAAUCCAUCUGUUCCAUGCUGUCCAGUCAGGAAUAAAAUGCCUCAUAGUAUUAUUGAAUGACACCAAAGUAGUUGUAUUCCUCCUUUGAUAUAUAUAUUUGGAAAUACGAAAUUAUUUGAUGUUCCUGAUGAUCUGUAAGGAUGAUUGUUAAUAUUGAUAAAGCAAAAUAUUUCACCCCUUUUCCACCUGAUGUAUUGUAAGUUGAAAUGUGGUGACUAUGCAUUCUCCCAACCUCCUCUUAUGUAUAGUACAGAAUUGUGAAGUGUUUGGCUUCCUCCUUUUAUUAUUUGUAUAUUUUGUGUAUUGCAUGUGGCAUCUUCUAAUAAAGGGAUUACAUUUUUUAAAAA